GAUGAACGCUGGCGGCGUGCCUAAUACAUGCAAGUCGAGCGAACAGACGAGGAGCUUGCUCCUCUGACGUUAGCGGCGGACGGGUGAGUAACACGUGGAUCACCUACCUAUAAGACUGGGAUAACUUCGGGAAACCGGAUCUAAUACCAGAUAAUAUAUUCAACCGCUUGGUUCAAUAGAGAAAGACGGUUUUGCUGUCACUUAUAGAUGGAUCCGCGCCGCAUUAGCUAGUUGGUAAGGUAACGGCUUACCAAGGCAACGAUGCGUAGCCGACCUGAGAGGGUGAUCGGCCACACUGGAACUGAGACACGGUCCAGACUCCUACGGGAGGCAGCAGUAGGGAAUCUUGCGCAAUGGGCGAAAGCCUGAUGGAGCAACACCGCGUGAGUGAUGAAGGUCUUCGGAUCGUAAAACCCUGUUGUUGGGAAAGAAAAAAAGUGUAAUUAUACACGGACGUUUUGACGGUACCCAAUCAGAAAGCCACGGCUAACUACGUG
rnacentral:rRNA from 1 species